GGCGAUAAAUGCUUCGCUUACAAUGAAGAAUACCUUAGGGCGCCUUUUUACAGGAAUGAAAAGUUUAA
rnacentral:tRNA from 1 species